AUUGACUAAUCCUCCCGCUUGGUACUCUUUGUUUUUUCCAGGAGGCUCAAGCUGUCUGAUAGGGCUUUUGAUCUCCACAGUUUCUUUAGGCAGGGCCAGGGGUUAUCGUCCUUCAGUCACUGCCAAGGCCCACAGCCUGCUGCUGUUUGCUGUUGCAGUUGAAGCUUGUUUUCCUGCCUUCUUUCAAACCAGUAACAGUGAAAGGGAAGCAGAGUCUCUAUGCCUGUCCUUUCCUCCAUGAAGUUCCUGCAGACUGGGCCGGAAUGAAACAGAGGCAGAAGUUGUGGCAAAGAGGCCCCUGCGGUCUGCCUGAGAUGGCUCCAGUUUACAUGAGAUCUUCGUACUUGAAGCAGCUUCAGAGAAUAUUUUUAUCCACGGCUUCUGCAGUCUCUGAACACCAGAGAAAAGCACAUCCCAUUCUUGGGCAAUUUUUAGAUGCUCCAAAGGCUGAACAAGAGCACAUCCCUCUUGCACAGCUUCCAGGGGAUCAGGAGGCCGUGCUGAGCACACUUCAUUCUUAUGCAGCCUCCACAGCUUCCAAAAAUCAAGUGAAAAUGGGGCUUGCUUUUGAGACUAGAUGUUAUCAGGUGUUGGUCAACCAUGGUCUGUCUUUCAAAACAUCAUCGCAUGACAUCUUUGACACGCGUGUCAUGGAUUUGCCAUCUCUGACCUAUAAUAUUUUAAAAAUCUCCCCUGAGAAAGAAAGAAAAAGAAGAGAGAGAGAAAGAGAGAAAGAAGGAAGGAAGGAAGGAAGGAAGGAAGGAAGGAAGGAAGGAAGGAAGGAAGGAAGGAAGGAAGGAAGGAAGGAAGGAAGGAA